rnacentral:rRNA from 1 species
AUGUUGUCACGGAGCUGCGACGGAAGCUUCUCUGCGUCGCAGCAUCGUCCUGGUACUAGAUGGAUGCGAGGUCUAUGUUAUGUUACGUGGAGGCACCACCACAUGACGGAGAGGUGCACGGUCGGUUGCUACAAAGAGAGACAGAGAGAUCAGCUGCGCUGUGCUUGUUGCAGGAGAAGAGGGCCUGCCACCAUUAAAGAAAGGAAGGAAGGAGGAGACGGCCUAGUCGUGGCCCCCCUCGACGCGGCGGCCACGAUCGAGCAGCGCGGGGGUCCAAACCGAGUCGUUUUCUCCCUCCAACCUCCACAGGAUCCGCGGCAAAAUUCCUUCUUCUUUCUUGUCUUCGUACAAGGCGAUGCUGCGGCCGCAGCAGCCCACCAGCCGCUCUCCGGUCGCGUGUUUCUCCGCUCGGCCCUGCUCCUAGCUGCCGCCCUGCGCGCGGCAAUGCCGGCGUCGCCGUCUUCUCGGUCCCCGGAGAUCACCAGCGUCUGCUCUGGCUCCGAGUCCGAGCCCGAGGAGCCGUCGCCUGUGACAGGCGGCGGCGGGUUCGUGGUGCAGCUGGUGUCGAGGGAAGUCUCGGACGGGCUCCUCGGCAAGUUCGCGGACACCAGCGAGUUCGACUUCGACUACGGCAGGAGCGGGCUCUGGUCGCCGCUGGUGCUGCGGCCCGAGGUCCUGCUCCUCGCGCACUCGUCGGCGUCCUCCUCGGCCCGGCGCCGGCAGCGGCGGUGGCGGUGGCGGAAGCGGAGAAAGAUGCUCUGCCGCUGCUUCUCAUAA